rnacentral:rRNA from 1 species
AUUGAACGCUGGCGGCAGGCCUAACACAUGCACGUCGAACGAGUGGCGGACGGGUGAGUAAUGUCUGGGAAACUGCCCGAUGGAGGGGGAUAACUACUUGAAACGGUAGCUAAUACCGCAUACCAUCGGAUGUGCCCAGAUGGGUUGAGCUAGUUGGUGGGGUAACGGCUAACCUAGGCGACGAUCCCUAGCUGCGUUGAGAGGAUGACAAGCCACCCGGGAAUGGAGAAACGGUCCAGCUCCCUACGGGAGGAGUCAGUGGGGAAUAUGGCAAAAUGGGCGAAGGCCGGAUGAAGCCAGGCCGCGGUUAGGAAGAAGGCCUUCGGGUUGUAAAGUACUUUCAGCGAGGAGGCGUUACUCGCAGAAGAAGCACCGGCUAACUCCGUGCCAGCAGCCGCGGUAAUUC